CUUCUCUUUUAAGUUCAUCUGUCUGGUUUGAUACUGACGGUCAGGUGCUGAUUGUCCAAACGCAAUUCUUGUGCUUGUGUGAAACAGGAGUUGUGGAUGGACAUCACGCUCCUGUCUGGUCCUCACAUCUACAGGAUGGGCCAAGUAAAG
rnacentral:pre_miRNA from 1 species